rnacentral:rRNA from 1 species
AACGCGAAGAACCUUACCUGGCCUUGACAUGCCUGGAAGUCUGCAGAGAUGCGGAUGUGCCUUCGGGAACCAGGACACAGGUGCUGCAUGGCUGUCGUCAGCUCGUGUCGUGAGAUGUUGGGUUAAGUCCCGCAACGAGCGCAACCCUUGUCCUUAGUUGCCAGCAUUAAGUUGGGAACUCUAAGGAGACCGCCGGUGACAAACCGGAGGAAGGUGGGGAUGACGUCAAGUCAUCAUGGCCUUUAUGGCCAGGGCUACACACGUGCUACAAUGGUAGAAACAGAGGGAAGCCAACGCGCGAGCGGGAGCCAAUCCCAGAAAAUCUAUCGUAGUCCGGAUCGGAGUCUGCAACUCGACUCCGUGAAGUCGGAAUCGCUAGUAAUCGCAGAUCAGCAUUGCUGCGGUGAAUACGUUCCCGGGCCUUGUACACACCGCUAGUC